UACGUAGGGUGCAAGCGUUGUCCGGAAUUAUUGGGCGUAAAGAGCUCGUAGGCGGUUUGUUGCGUCGGCUGUGAAAUCCCGAGGCUCAACCUCGGGUCUGCAGUCGAUACGAGCAAACUAGAGUGUUGCAGGGGAGACUGGAAUUCCUGGUGUAGCGGUGAAAUGCGCAGAUAUCCGGAGGAACACCGGUGGCGAAGGCGGCUUCCUGGACCGAUUACUGACGCUGAGGCGCGAAAGCUAGGGGAGCAAACAGG
rnacentral:rRNA from 1 species